rnacentral:tRNA from 3 species
GGGAUUGUGGUCUAGCUUGGUAUGAUUCUGCGUUUGGGACGCAGAGGUCGGGAAUUCAAAUUUCCCCAAUCCCACCA